UGGGGAAUCUUCCGCAAUGGACGAAAGUCUGACGGAGCAACGCCGCGUGUAUGAUGAAGGUCUUCGGAUUGUAAAGUACUGUCAUUGGGGAAGAACGGUUUUCUUGAAAAGAUUGAGAAGACAUGACGGUACCCAAGGAGGAAGCCCCGGCUAACUACGUGCCAGCAGCCGCGGUAAUACGUAGGGGGCAAGCGUUGUCCGGAAAUUAUUGGGCGUAAAGGGCGCGUAGGCGGGCCUUUAAGUCCGGUGUGAAAGAUCAGGGCUCAACCCUGAGAGUGCAUCGGAAACUGGAGGCCUUGAGGACAGGAGAGGAAAGUGGAAUUCCACGUGUAGCGGUGAAAUGCGUAGAUAUGUGGAGGAACACCAGUGGCGAAAGGCGACUUUCUGGACUGUAACUGACGCUGAGGCGCGAAAGCGUGGGGAGCAAACAGGAUUAGAUACCCUGGUAGUCCACGCCGUAAACGAUGAGUGCUAGGUGUAGAGGGUAUCGA
rnacentral:rRNA from 1 species